UGGGGAAUCUUGCGCAAUGGGCGAAAGCCUGACGCAGCGACGCCGCGUGAGUGAUGAAGGCCUUCGGGUUGUAAAGCUCUGUGGAGCGGGACGAAUAAGUGUUGGCUAACAUCCAGCAUGAUGACGGUACCGCUUUAGCAAGCACCGGCUAACUCUGUGCCAGCAGCCGCGGUAAGACAGAGGGUGCAAACGUUGUUCGGAAUUACUGGGCGUAAAGCGCGUGUAGGCUGCUCUGCAAGUCGGAUGUGAAAGCCCUGGGCUCAACCUAGGAAGUGCACUCGAAACUGCAGAGCUGGAGUCCUGGAGAGGAAGGCGGAAUUCUCGGUGUAGAGGUGAAAUUCGUAGAUAUCGAGAGGAACACCUGUGGCGAAGGCGGCCUUCUGGACAGUGACUGACGCUGAGACGCGAAAGCGUGGGGAGCAAACAG
rnacentral:rRNA from 1 species